GUCGAGCUCACGUGCGCGUGUGUGUUUACCGGCUUCCAGACACGUGUUUUACAGCGUCGGACUCCGCCCAUUGGACAGAGGAGGAGCUUCUGAGCAGAGGAGAGGAGUUUACACUCGGCACUGAGGCUUACAGCUGGCACAGGGACGGACGCUGCGGAGUAUAUACAGCUUAUAUUACACACUCAGACCGUGUUUAUUAGACACUGUCAAUCAGACCGGGUUUAUUAGACACUGUCAAUCAGACCGGGUGAAUUGGACAGUGAGUACUAUUUGGUGUUUGUUAAAAUUAGCGACACGGAAAACUUUACAGAACUUUCCUGAAGCUGUCUGGCAGCUGAUUAAGACGUGUUUUCAGGAACAAACUGCACAUUUCUGGAAUAAUAAACCCGUUAUUCAGGUAAGUUUCAUGUGUUUGUGUGUUUUUAUGUAUUUAUUAUUUGCUGUUAUAUUGUAUAAUAGUGAUGUUUUCAGAAGCUUCACGCUGUCUGAGGCGACUCUCUCUCUCUCUCUCUCUCUCUCUCUCUCUCUCACACACACACACACACACACACACACACACCGGAUGCUCCGUGUUCCUUCAGAGUAAAGUGUCAGAACUGAGCACAGUUUGAAAGUACAGUGUGUGGAAGAACAUCUCCGCUGUAAUAAACUGUAGAAGUGAAAUGAAGAAACCCUCCUCAGAACACGGUGAAGGAGAAGUUAGCACGCGCCCUUACCGGUGUCUCUAAUAAGCGCCGUCACGCCAUCUCUCAGAGUGAACCGUCACUAUGGAGACCGAUGACCUGUAGACACCUAAAACACACCCCAAACCGCACACUAGUGUAUUAAAUAAGGUGCACUAUAUCUACUAUUUUAGCACGCUGUUAACCACUGUUUAGUGUCCUGAUUAGUGAGGUGAUUAAUGAGGUGAUUAAUCAUGUGAUUAGUGAGGUGCUUAAUGAGGUGAUUAGUGGGGUGAUUAAUGAGGUGAUUAGUGAGGUGAUUAGUGGUGUGAUUAAUGAGGUGAUUAGUGGGGUGAUUAAUGAGGUGAUUAGUGGGGUGAUUAGUGAGGUGAUUAGUGGUGAUUAAUGAGGUGAUUAAUCAGGUGAUUAAUCAGGUGAUUAGUGAGGUGAUUAAUGAGGUGAUUAGUGAGGUGAUUAAUGAGGUGAUUAGUGGUGAUUAAUGAGGUGAUUAGUGAGGUGUUUAAUGAGGUGAUUAGUGAGGUGAUUAAUGAGGUGAUUAGUGAGGUGAUUAGUGGUGAUUAAUGAGGUGAUUAGUGGGCCGAAUAAUGAGGUGAUUAGUGAGGUGAUUAAUUAAGUGAUUAGUGAGGUGAUUAAUGAGGUGAUUAAUGAGGUAAUUAAUGAGGU
ensembl:lncRNA